UACGAAGGGGGCUAGCGUUGUUCGGAUUUACUGGGCGUAAAGAGCGCGCAGGCGGCCAAGUCAGUCGAAUGUGAAAGCCCCCGGCUCAACUGGGGAGGGUCAUUCGAUACUGCUCGGCUCGAAGACAGGAGAGGGAAGUGGAAUUCCCGGUGUAGUGGUGAAAUGCGCAGAUAUCAGGAGGAACACCGGUGGCGAAGGCGGGUCUCUGGGCCGAUACUGACGCUGAGGAGCGAAAGCGUGGGGAGCGAACAGG
rnacentral:rRNA from 1 species